rnacentral:rRNA from 1 species
AAUGAACGUUGGCGGCGUGGAUUAGGCAUGCAAGUCGUACGGGCCGCAAGGCCAGUGGCGCAAGGGUGAGUAAGGCGACGGCAACCAACCCCAUGGUUGGGUAUAGCCGCGGGAAACCGCGGGUAAUCCCCAGCGACGCACGAGGCCGGCAUCGGUCUCCUGCCAAAGCUCAGGCGCCGAGGGACGGGCCGUCGUCGUAUUAGGUAGUUGGCGGGGUAACGGCCCACCAAGCCGACGAUGCCUACCGGGCGUGCGAGCGUGGCCCGGCACACUGGGACUGAGACACUGCCCAGACUCCUACGGGAGGCUGCAGUCGAGAAUCUUCGGCAAUGGGCGCAAGCCUGACCGAGCGACGCCGCGUGGAGGACGAAGGCCUUCGGGUUGUAAACUCCUGUCGAGGGGGAAGAAGGCCCCGCAAGGGGCUUGACUGAUCCCUGGAGGAAGCACGGGCUAAGUUCGUGCCAGCAGCCGCAGUAAAAC